GGAUGUGAGGGCGAUCUGGCUGCGACAUCUGUCACCCCAUUGAUCGCCAGGGUUGAUUCGGCUGAUCUGGCUGGCUAGGCGGGUGUCCCCUUCCUCCCUCACCGCUCCAUGUGCGUCCCUCCCGAAGCUGCGCGCUCGGUCGAAGAGGACGACCAUCCCCGAUAGAGGAGGACCGGUCUUCGGUCAAGGGUAUACGAGUAGCUGCGCUCCCCUGCUAGAACCUCCAAACAAGCUCUCAAGGUCCAUUUGUAGGAGAACGUAGGGUAGUCAAGCUUCCAAGACUCCAGACACAUCCAAAUGAGGCGCUGCACGUGGCAGUCUGCCUUUCUUU
rnacentral:snRNA from 1 species